GCCUGGGUGGUUCAGUCGGUUAAGCGUCUGACUUUGGCUCAGGUCAUGAUCUCACUGUGGGUUUGAGCCCCACGUCGGGCU
rnacentral:tRNA from 1 species